AGCUUUGCGCAGUGGCAGUAUCGUAGCCAAUGAGGUUUAUCCGAGGCGCGAUUAUUGCUAAUUGAAAACUAAACAACAAGU
rnacentral:snRNA from 1 species